UUUGAUACCCAGGUAUAUCCCAGGCACUGCAACCAACAGCAAAACUGAGCAACUGACCAUAAUGUAACUCUGUCUUGACAUAACCAGCAGUACAUCCAUGCAAUAACCUCUAACAUAAUAUUUUCCUGUCUGACACUACAGUUCAUCCACUUAAACAUAAGGUUUUAAAAAUAUUACAUCCAUGAUAACACAAAAGGCAGCUGAAACUAACUGGACUUGAGCUUUAUUAUGAACUCUGAGCUCUUUGCUUCAGUAUAUUGUCAGGGCUCCACUCUUCUGGCCUUACCCAAAACUCCUUUUGCUACUUCUGUUUCUUGAAUCUUGUGGCCAGCUUUUCAUCAGAUGCUCAUUUCCUGGAGAGAGAGUACAGUGAGAUAGAGAGAUGAUUCAACGGACUGCAAUCUUUUGGCAAACAAUUCUUGGGUUACAACAAUGCUUGAUGCAGUAAUUCACCAUACCAAAAGUUGGUAGCAAUGGUAGGAAAUAUGUUAUACUUCACCUCUUCUAAAGGGAUUUGCGAAUGAUAUGGACAUUCAUCACAUACUUCUUCUUGUUUCUCAGUAGCUCAAAGAGGCAGACAUCUCCCAGCUGCAAGUUAUUGCCACGCACAAAAUGCAUCCACCCUCUCAUAAGCCUUUUGGAUUUUUUGUUCUUAACACAACACCGCACUUCCCACUUCUUGCCAUGGUGCUGAAGGGUCACCAUUUGUUCCACAAAUGGAAGGUAUACUUCAGCAUAUUUUCUUGAUAUUUCCUGAUAAAGGGAGAAAUGAUCUUUAGUAAUGAUAAUUGGACUGAUAAAGCAAACAUCAUGGUGUAGUGAACUAUGUACACGUCCAGCUACUACUCCCUCCGUUCGGAAUUACUUGUCUCGGAAAUGGAUGUAUCUAGAACUAAAAUACAUCUAGAUACAUCUAUUUCUGCGACAAGUAAUUCCGAACGAAGGGAGUAUCAUUUUGUAGUAUAGUACUCCCUCUGUUCACUUUUAUAAGACCUUGAAGACAUUUCAGACAAUGUACAAAACAGCCCAUUUUGAGUUGUCUGAAAUGACUUACAAAAGUGAACGGAGGGAGUAGCAAAGUUCAUUAAAAAAAUUGAAACUGAAGUUGUAACGCCCAGCUUACAUGAGAGACGUAACGAUAAGAGCUCACUGGGGUUGCUAUCUUAGAAAAUUCAGCAGCAUAUCACCUCUAAAUUUGACACCGUAAAGUUUUCUUCUAUAAUUUCCUAUCUCGAUGGUUUUUUUGGACAAAAUGCAAAGCUUGCGUUUUGAUCCAUUGAUAGAAAGAAGAUUAACAUCCAUACAAGCCCAAGACUAGGCCGACAUAACCAAACACUUCUAACAAGACUACAACCAACUUCUACUAAACACGCACUACAACAAACACCACCAAACCACCCCAAAGCCAUCCACACAAAUACACGGAUGCAAAUCCCGCGACAGGAAGCAAGCAUAAAAGUUUCUGAUAGAAUAAGCAGAAUACAAUCAACAGGGUAAGAUGAACAUUGUUUUGGGUAAGACAAACUUCAAUCUGCUCCAACUAAAAUUUUCUAUCCCAAUGGUUACAUGACUCAACUACUUCAAUCAAUAUGCAGAAUAAGCCAACAACAUUUGGGUGAGACAAACAUGGUUUCUGCAAGUCAGAUGCAGAGAUAGCAGCCGGCUUGCAAAAUGCAGCACCACUAAUGUACAGUAUCCAUUCGAGAACAGAGAUAUUGACUCACAAGGGUGCGGGUUUUUCCAUAAAUACUGCUCUUCCUUAUGACACACCCAUAAAUGGGGAUUUCGGAAUUCAUAGCUCGGAUUUUUUCUUCAAGUUGCUUCUUCUGCAGAUGAUUUAGAUUCAAGAGGGUGCCCUUUGCCAGGAUACAACCUGAGAGGGAAUGAUCAUCUUCUGAAGAUGAAACACCUCCUAAACACAGAAAAUAUAAGUAUGAUGCAUAUAUGAAGUUUUAUGGGGCAUAAUGUAUGGCAGGUUUGACAUUGUGAAUCAUAACCUGCUGAUUCUGAUGGAGAGCUCGACGAGCUGACAUUGAUGAUGUCAUUCCCCUGCCUUGAGCUAUCCUUGCUUGGCCUAAUUUGUUUUCCACUAUGUGGAAGUUUCAUGGGAAGAUUGUGACAAGUGUUUACAAUGCUAGCAGUGUUUCCCCACCAUUCUUUAGCAGGAGCAGCAUUUUUCAUGAGAUUGCACGCCGGAAUUUUCUCGCAACCGCUCGGGCCAAAGAUCAAAACCUUCAGUUCAGAGUUGCCAUCAUACUUGAACACAAGAAAGUCCCCCGUUCUCAAGUUAUGGGCGCGAGCAAACGCCUUCCAUCCAGAAUCAAGGACUAGUUUCGCCAAAUUCUUGGUAAUCUGAACAUCAGAAGUAUAGCCAUGGCGUGAUGCUAGCUUAAUAGUUCGCCCUAUUUGCCCCCUGAAAUGUUGGGCAAACUUAUCUGGUAUGAUCUGUAGUAAACAAGGUAAAGCACACUAGGUCAGGAGACACUAAAAUUUUGUUACAAAGAAGAAAACGCUGAAGAAAGCUCAUCUGUAUAGUUCAGAUCAGACCGAAUUAAGUUUCUUUUUUUUUUGGAAAAGGACAGACCGAAUUAAGUAAUGAAGUUUCACCCCAAGAGGUUCCUUUCUUUGUUUGCACAGAAAGGUAGAACAUAAUCCAGCUGAAAAUAAAAUUACCCUAGGAGGCUAGAACAGAGCCGAACUGAAAAUAGCUUACCAUUCUCUCAUGGAAGUCGCCAAUCAUAACCUUGAAGAAAUUCUUAUCUUGCUCGCCUGUGUGGUUCCAGUAGCGAUGUUCGUCCAGCUCCUUCUGUUUCAUCCAUGGCUUGCUCAUCUCCUAACCACGGAAUGGAUCUACAACAAAAACGAAUCGUGCCUAAAUAUUUUAGGUAAAAAUGUAACAACUCAAAGUUGAAGAAAACAUUUCGGGAAAUAGAGGAAAUCGGAGCUAACAGGGAGAAGGUAAAACAAGAGCUUCAGAGGGAGGGAGAUAAAAGUUGAAGCAUACCAGUGAUUAUCGGAGAUUCAGAGAGAGAGAGAGAGAGAGAGAGAGAGAGAGAGAGAGAGAGAGAGAGAGACUGGAGAACGUUCUGAGAGGAGAAAGCCAAACGUCAUGGAGAUUAGGCAAGUAGUGGAAGAGCCAGCGCCUCUCCAACUUCUUGGCGCCUAUUAGUAGGUGUGCCUGUCAGAGGCGACAAGACUUUACAAAGGAUGCGUUGGGGAGGGUGUAUGUGGGGGGUGACCUGAUGAGGUUGCGUGUGAGGCUGUGAGCAGUAAAUAUUACUACAGUACAAUAUUUGAAUAUUUGAGUGUCAUUUUAUAAUUCAGAAAUUUUAUUUUAAAUAUUUUGAAUAUGUUUCAAAUAAUAAAUUAACAAGUUUUAAAAGUAAGUUAUUUCAUUUGUAAGUACAAUAUCUAUGAGCUAAAACUAAAAGGAUGAGGUCCCGAUCUAUGGCAGCGGCGCCGAUCUGCCCCACGGCGGUCUCCAUGUGCGCAACGGCGUGGUGGCUGGACGGUUCCUAGGGGCGGCCGUGGCGGUAGCCUGGCUAUGCUCUACCUGAUCUGGGGCGGAGGGUGCUGGAUCCGGGGCAGCGGCCCCUAGGCCGGCCUUCUCGUCCGGGCGUGGCGGGGCAGGUGGGCUGCCGGGGAUCGGAUCGGGUGGUCGGUGAUCCUUCGGCGGUUUGGUGUCACGGCAUCAGAUCUGGUGGUUCCCCUCCCUCCUGCUGCCUCUCUCGUCGUCCUGGUGGUUUGCGGCUGCAGGCUCCGGUGAUGGUGAGACUGGUGGUGUACCUUGGGUCCGGGGGAAACCUUGGCCGAUCUGGCCAGCCCAGCGACGACGUCGUCCAUGGGCGUCGCUUCCUUCAUGAAGGCGCAGUUGAGGGCCCAAUCUACCCACCCCUAUCUCAUGUUGGAUGAAAACCUACAAUCCUCUUCGGAUUUGGCGGCAGCGGCGCUUCACGUCGUGACCUUCCUGGAGGUGUCGUCAGGGGCCUUGGGGCUCGGUUGGGAGUACAGAGGAAAUGCAGGUGGAGGGGAUGGGACCAGUGGCAGCAGGUGGUGUUCGUGAAGGAGGUGCGGCGUUGCAUCUGACACGUCGACAACGGCGGGCCCCAGCAGCAUGGUGCAGCGGGGUCUCACUGAUGGGCGUGUGUUGAUGGACGAGCGCAUGAUGGUGGCGUCGACGACAGCUAGGCCGGGCAAGGUUGAUGCGUCAGUAUAACUCUGAAGAUGGAUUUGUGGUAGUUGGCGGCGGCGACCAUUGAGUGUGUGUCGGACCGGUGGAUGUCCCAUACCCGGCAGGUGGCUUGGUUGGGGCCUCAGGUCUUAGAUGUUAGGUUUGACUGCGAGGUCUGUUUCGAAUUAGGCCUAGACUAUCAACUGGAUAUAAGUAGCGACAGAUAUUGCCUAGACGGUGGCUUCAGUCUUACUGCUGUAUUAUUUUGUAAGGUCUUUUGUGAAUAAUUAAUAAAAUGGCUGCAUGUAUAAUCCAAAUGUAGAGACUAGAGGUCUUCCUUUUUUCAAAAAAAUAAAAACCAACAAGUGCAAAAUGGGCCGCACAGACCACUGUCCAUUUCUGGUCGCGCCUUUGUUCUAAUAUAUUAAAAUGUAGUUAUCCACUUUAGACAUCAACAUGUGUAGGUGGUCGUGGGUUUGAAAUAUGGUGCCCACACUAUUUCGUCUUAAUUUUUGGUUUGUAUUGACAUGCGGAACACAUCAAGAGUUGGCAUUUUUCCGCAAAUAAAAAAAGUAGGUGUAUUUUUUGUAAAAACGCGUCGGGCCAAGCAUCAACUGUCACUGAUAGUGGACCCUGUCCACGCAUGCACGUACGGGAUAUGUGACCGUAUUUGCAUGGCCAUGCGAGUUCGAUGACCGUAAUCACAUAUUUUAUAAGUUUGUAGACUAAACUUAUCGCCGUGUGUAAUUUCUAAGACUCCUAGUGCAUUUUGAUGAAUGAAAAGUUCUUUUCCUAAAAAAAAUACUUCUAGUGUAUUUAUCUCUAAUAAAACCGCAAGUGGAGUCGGUUUUUUCACUAAAAUAAAUGCUAAGUUCUGGUACUCGGUCCGGCACAACUAGAAUUCUAAAUUUCUGCCAUUUCAGCCAAGUCUAAAAUAAGGCAUGUGUCGUCCUAUGGUGAUCCGACUAAUAUAAUCACAUGAUUUUGUUCUAAGAUAUAUUCAUUUUAGCGACAAGUAAUAUGGAUGGAAGGAAGUAAUAGAAUUGAAAUUUGAUUUCAGUGGUAAUGUGAGAACCUCGUCCUUUGUCUGGUGUAGUGGGAUGGUUGGUAUGGAUAUGGUCAGUAUCACAGGCGGAGAACUCGGUAGGGCGAGGUGGGCCGCUCGCCCUACCUAAUUUGCUAACCACUCAGAUUAAUCAAUUGCACUGACUGAAAACAACACCAAAAACAUAAGAACUACCGUAGCCACGCUAUUUAUAAACUAUAUCACUUAGAUCUUGGAAGUAUUUGAAAAAAAAACUUCAAUUUUAAAAAGUUCAUCAUUUUUAAGAAAACUUUCAACAAUUUUCAUAAAAUAAAUUCACAAAAUUGAAAAAAGUUCACAAAUUUUGAAAAAAAAGUUCAGCAGUUUUGGGAAAUAGUUCACCUCUUUUGAAAAAAGUUUUUCCAAUUUUAAAGUUUUAAAGGAAGUUCAUCGAUUUUAGAAAAAGUUCAUUGAUUUUGAAAAAGGUUCAUAUUUUUUUUAAGAAAAUCAUCAACUUUGAAAAAAGGUCAUCGAUUUUCAAAAAAAUCAUCAAUUUUAAAAGGCCCAGCGUGGAGGAAAGUGUGUGCGGCGCCCGUUUAUGAAAAAAGGAAAAACAUUACUUUAUUCCGAGAGAGGGUGUUGGCUUCUGUCUUCUUUCCUUCCGGUUUUCUUUAUUUCUUCAAUAGGUUUCUUUGAAUUUUUUUUUGUUUUCUCCGGUUUUAUUAUUUCACACCAUUUUUUUCAUUUAUUUAUUGCUUUUGACAUUUUUUUCUUCAUCGGUUUUCUUCAGUUUUUCAUUCUUCCUCGUUAUAGUUUUCUUCACUUUCACUGGUUUUCUUUCAUUCUUUAUUAUACUUUGUUUUUUUGUUUCUUCCUUCCUGGUCUUCUAUUUUCUUCGCUUUCCCUUUCUGGUUCUUUUAUCUUUUUGUCCAUUUUCGUUGGCUUUAUUUUUCUCAACAUAUGUUAAAAAAUUUCAGUACAAAUUCAAUAUUUUUGUAUACAUUAGAAACAUUUUUCAUAUACAUGUUAAACAUUUUGACAUACAUGAUUAACAUUUUUAGAAAACUUAUAUAUUUUUUUAUCUCCAGUACAUAUUAUAAAUAUUUUGGUAUAUAUCUAAUACAUUUUUUUCCAAUACACGUUCAAUUCAGGCUGGACGUACCGAGCGGGCUUUUCGGGCCGCUCGUGGCCCGCUCGGUCCUGGCCCGCUAGAGAAACUGGCCGGUCCGGUCUGUCAAAUUGGGCCCGAAAAUUUGUCGGUCCGGUCCGGGCUUUGACCGGUCCGACCGAGAGGACCGAGAAAACACUGUCAUCGUCGCCACCGUUCCUCGUCAUCGCGGCCACCGGCAGCCCCCGGGUGAACCUCCGCGUCCCCAAGCUUCCCCUCUUCUUCCUUCAUCUCCUCACCAUGCGCCAUAGCCUCUCGCCGCCGCUAGCCGUCGCUGCCGUGCGUGCACCGCCGAUGAUCUCGUGUUCUCGACCUGGCACCGGCAGUGUUAUAGCUGCGGGUUUCGCUGCCAUGGCAGCAAAAGGAGGCGGCGACGAUGACGGUUUAAACACAGCACGCACACAGGCCAUAAACUGGGAUAAACGCUCGAUCGGCCAUGAUUCUCGGAUUGUGGAGAAAUGCUCGACCGUGAUUUCCGCUUCCAACAGAUCAGGAAAAUACAGUGUUUUCUUUUUGGAAGGCAAUAGAUUUAAUAGCGUCUGCUAUAAUCACGCGCCGUGAUCCUAUGCUGCCGUUUUCAUUUUGUUGAAGCGUAUGAUCAGGUCCAUCAGCCGGCACGUUGGUCUCUCUUCCGUUGCUCUCUCUUCAGUUUCUGCACUUUUAUUCAGUCGAACAGGUAAAAGAAAGUACAACAUAAACAAGGCUCGAUCCGAAAAUCACGGAGCCAUUGACCACUAACUCGACGUCAGGUUUGAUCCGCUAUUUAUGGCAAGGCUAGCACGCCGGAAAUCAUGGGCUCAUGCGCACCCUACAUUAGUUGCAUACUACAGAAAAACUGCUAAGGAAGGUUCAUGGCUAACAGCCGCGCACUUUCGACGGCACAUCGCCCACCUUGCCGCCGUCGCUUGCGCAUGUCGCCCACCUCACAACAGCACUCGCGCACGUCGCCCACAACUCCGCUGCCCCCUGCACCUCGCCGCCGGUGGUUAUUGGCCGGUCCGCUCGGUCCAGCCCGGGCUUUGCCGCGGCCGGUCCGGUCCGUGAAAACUGAACCGCGUGGCUGGUCGGUCCGGUCCGGUCCGGACCGCUGCCGGUCGGUCCAAAGGGUGGCUCGGUGAGGGACCGGACCGGCCCGGACCGUGUCCACCCUGACGUUCAAUAUUGUUUGAAUACAAGAUUAUUAUUUUUUUAACACAUGAUCAACAUUUUUCCCAUAUACAUUUUAAAACCAAAAUAAAUGUUUGAUUAACAUUUUUCUGUACUUAUUUCAUAUUUUUCAAAAUGCUUGAUUAAUAUUUUUUAAGUACAAGAUUCAUAUUUUUAAUACAUGUUCAACAUUUGUUUCAUACACGUUAAACAUUUUGAAAUGCUGGAUUAACAUUUUCCAAAUACAAGAUUAACAUUUUUAGAAUACAUGAUCAAACACAAGAUAAAACAUUUAACAUUUAACAUUUUCAAAUGCUUGAUUAAUAUUUUUGUCAAAUACAAGAUAAAACAUUUUUGCGUCUUUUUUCACUUGUGUCUUUUUUUCUUUUUCUUUUUAGAAUUCACUCUUGCGUCUAUCUAGCCAGUCCCUAUGCUGAUGUAAAAAAAAGCCAGUCCCUGUGCUGGGCUAAGCCCCUUUCCUCUGCAUUCAGUUAGGCUUCAUUUCUCUGUCUCCUCUUCUCUUCACCUUCAGUGCCUGCCCCAGUGUGCCUGGCGUUACGGGCGUGUUUCUAUUUGGCGACCUGCGCGCCGGAAAACGAUGAAACGCACAGCCGCUCUAGGCAUGAGCUCCCACUACGUGUAUUCUGGGCUGGCCCAUAUGCGGGCUGGGCGCCCCUCUUUCUUUUUGUAUUUUGUGUUUCAUUUUCUUUUCUAUUUUUUUACUUGGUGAGCUGUUUAACAAUAUGAAUUUCAAUUCUAUUGCGGGAUUUCUAUUUGAAAAAUGUUCUGAACUUCAAAAUAUAUCCAAUAUUUCAUAAAUGUGCAUAAAUUUGGAAAAAAUGUUCAAGAUUUCAAAAAAAAAUCAUGAAUACAAAAACAUGUCCGUGAAUACAAAAAAUGUUGGCCAGCACAAAAACUGUUCAAAAAGUCGGAAAAUAUUUUUGAAUCAAUAAAACGUUUGUGAAUUCGAAUUUUUUUCAUGAUUUCCAAAAUAUAGUGAAUUCAUAAAAAAUGUUUGAGAUUCCAAAAAAUGUUCAUGAUUUUGUUUUUUUUCAUAAUUUUGAAAUUAUUCACGAAUUCGAGAAAAUUAAUGAAUUUAAAUAAUUUUCAUUAAAUACCAAUUUUUUCAUGAAUUCAAAAAUGUUUUGAAUUAAAAAAAUUCUUCGCAAAUUAAAAAAAACAAUGAAUUCAUAAUUUUUUUGUGAAUUCACAAAAUAUUUGUGAUGUCAAAAAAUGUUCGCGAAUUCAAAAAAUGCUCAUGAUUUUGAAAAAAGAGAAUAACAAUAUUUGUAUUCUGAAUCGCUUCUGAUAAAUGUGAUAAUUUUUUGGCCCACAAUUUUAUACGUUUUGUUAGCCUUAUGAAUUUAGUAGUAAUGACCUUUGCACUAUCCACUUCAUUGACAGAAUGAUGCCAAAUGUUCUUGACAAGCUGUUGAAAAUCUGGGUGAUCAAGCCAAUAGUGCUCAAAUAUGAAUAAGUUUCACUUGGGUAUAGAUCUGCCAAUUUGUAUGACACAUGGAGUAUGAUCAAAAGUGGUCUUGGCUAGGGAGAUAGCCAAAUUAUUUGGGUAUGAAAGGGUCAAAGCUUCUAUGGAAGAAACCAUUCCAAACGCUAAAGAAGAGAAAUAUCUUGCAUAUAGCUCCAUGUAUAGUUUUUUUUUCUUUAUAAGGAAUCUCUACCAAAAGCAAAUGACUGGUGGCUUCACUAAAGUGCAUCAUAUCUUGUGUGUCCUCCCUUCUUUGUUCCUAUUUUCUGGAUAUCUAAUGAAGUUAAUGUCCCUCACUAUGAUUCAGUUCUGAUCAUCUGGCAUUGUAAUGCUUUGAAAUCAAUCAAUGAAAUUUUUCUUGUUGACAAAGGCUAUAAACAUUGGUUAAUAUUCAGGAAUCACCAUUGUGGAUUGAAGUAAAUGAAACAGACACGGGAAAUUGAUUUUGGAAUAUUUCCCACUUAUGAAUAUAUUAUCAUUCUAGACAAUGAGCAAUCCUCGAGAGUCCCCCACAGAGGGCAGAUAUUCAACUUAUUAGUCUUCUAAGACACAAGUUUUUAGAGCAACUUCAAUGGGGCCAUCCAUUUUGUCCGCCGUCAUCCAUUUGGGUCGGCGCGGACAAAAGAGGAGGCCAACACGACGACUCAAAUCCAAAUGGAGUCCGCUUCGCAUCCGCGCUGACGCAUUUGCGGGCCAAAUUUGUGUCCCAAAUGUGUUGGCGCAGACGCGGAACAGACGCCAUGCACGCCUUCUCGGUGUCCGCCGUGGCCCCACAUGGCGGUUGUCCAACCGCCCGCCACCUACCUGGUCAGCUUAAUUUAUGACCUUGGACCCCACGUCAGCGACGCCGGUCAUCCUUUUUAAGCCGACCGUGCGGCGUGUGACGCCCCGUUACGUCCAACAGAGUCAAGCGUAACGGAAGCCUUCACUUCAGAGUUGCGCUAGGAUCAGUUAAGGAGAACAGUGCCAUGUACAAGACGGAGCGACUGCCAUGAAUAGGCAAGCUUUUAUUACAUAGACACCUCAAGUGUCGACUAAGCCUAUGCGGCCAUGACGAUAGAUCGUCACCUGCUUCUAGUAUAAGCCUUUUAGACCAACCAUGGAGGGCAUCUACUCUUCAUAGCCUUGAUUGUCAACUUCCUCAUAAUCAUACUCCACUUCAAAAUAACCAAAGUUGUUAAGAUGACCAGACUCAUCAUAAGUACCAUUCUCUAUCGCCUCAGAGUUCUCAUAACUCUCUUGCUCUGAAAGACAACAUAAGUGCAGCUUAGUACGUAUAAAAUACGUACUCCGCAAGUCGCCGGGAAAAGUGAAUGUAUGAGUUUUUAAAGAGGAAAAACUUUAUCGGCCACAGCUACCACCACCGAGCCAUUAUCUCAAAAUACUAUGCGGGUAUUUUUUUUCCCUUAACCCAUUUUGUUGAAAACCAAAUUUAAUUCAUAAAAUCUACUGGCGAUAGAGCGACGUGGGAUCUUACAUCCUGUGUUAGAGGAAAACCCACACGACGCACUUCCAAUCCUGGAAGCUGGGAGUAUAUCACAUUUACUCUGAUGAGAGGUGUACUGCUUUGCCCAUAGCAUCACUUGGUCCAAGUCUUCCAUGCGCUACCCGUGCGCACGACUAGACCAAGGAACCAGAACCUUUGACCAGCCCGUACACUACCUCUGCUUUUCCACCUUGCCUUACUAAAGGCCCGCGGGUCGAGACCCCUGGCCGGCGGUCCCGCCCUAGGGUGACUGUACCUACCCGGCUACAGCCACCUUCUCACCCAUGCAGAGGCAGUUACUUGGCAAGGAUAGUCGGUUCGGGCCAUCCCAUUCCAGGUCUAUGGUCAGUACGGUUUGCGCCGCUUUUGAAGUAAGCGCCAGUUGGUUAUGUCCUAAUGUGAUACCCUAUGUAGAGGAGCCCGCCAUCCAAGCCGACCCUACCUGGGUGGCUUUCACCAACAUGAGCUUCCCUACCCACCAAAUAUUUAUUUAUCUUGUAACCCUGCCCGGGUCACAACUACUUAAUAUAGAUACUUCACCUGAUCUGGUCCAACUGCCAAGUCAGUGGAUCAACUUGAUCCAAAUUUCAUUUUGUUUACGGAAAAUAUUUAUUUUUAAUUCUUAUGCAAAAUUUUGGAAAUGACCCAUAGCUUGGAAAACAUUUAUCAAGACAUGGUCAAGAAGAUGACGACUUACCGGGAAGUGCUUCGACCAACUCGGAACCACCAGACGUGACUCCUACAGGUCCGAAAUCGACUCCUGAUGCCUCUUGGGGCGUAUCUGUGCGCACUUGUAUUGCUCGAGCACCUCAUCAUGUCCUAUGCAACCAUUUUCACACAUUUACACACAUUUGUCUCCUACUAAUAGCAGACUAAGAGUUGUUAGCAUGACGUUAUGGAUUCCUCAUAGAAGAUGGAAAUUUACAGUGUUGAAUGGAAGAAAAUAGAAGAUGGCAUUCAUUCUGUUCAAAAAGAUAUAGUAAUAAAUAUAAUUUACAGAAUCACAGUUCUAUAUCUGAUGAAAAAGAAGCCUUGGUUGUUUUAAGGAGACAUCAACACUAUAUAGCAAAACAAUCCGACGGUUUGUCUCUUUUUAGGAGGAUAACAGUUCGAACUAUUACAGCAUACCGUCCAUUCUAAAAGCACAUAAAUAUAAGUUAGUACAUAUAAAUUAAUUAACACAACUUCCAACUGCUAGUCUUCCUUCAGAUUGCAUGGUGGUUCAAGUCCCAGCCUAGCGAGCUAGACACUGUGUAAAGAAGUUGAACACCACGGCAAGACACCUCAAUUUACAGAUCUCACAUAUAAAUAAGGCGCAGUGCAUCUAGUCAACAACAAAGUUGUUGUUCUUGCAAGAACGGUUUGCCUAAUUUUUAAGUUCCCAAAGUUUCUAGGUUUACCUAAAAGUAACACCACACUGAAAUCACUUGGAAAUUAAGAGGUGGAGAAGGAGAGGAAGGAAGACGAGGAAGAUCUUACUAAUUGUACAGAGACGAAAUGCAUCAGACAAUCUAAGUUGCAAAUAAAAAAGUUAACACAUUAACUAAAAAUACAGAGAAAGGAAUGUGUUUUCCCCAGCCUCACCCUUGUUGGGGUAAACAACAGGGAGAAAAGCAACAACUCACUUUCACACAAAUCCAUAAUGUGUAGUAUCUUUUAUUACAACAGACAUCAGUUGGAAGGAAAAGAAAAAAAAACUGUCAGACUUGCCAGUGGCGAAAUUUGUAACCUAGACAAAGGAUUGCUAAUAACCUACUGGUGUUUGAAAACUGUCAGCGUUAUCCUGUGUAUCAGAUAUACACCCACUCUAUCCAAUUUUUCAGAAAAUUCUCCUUGAAUCUAGUCAUAUAGCAAAGAUAAGAGGUCUAAAGACUUGCAGAACCAAAAUACAGAGGCAGUACUGAACAUCUACCCAACAAUGACACACUGCCAACACUAUGUGUAGGACAUAAAUUGAUGCUUAGUUUCAUAGUUGGAAUUUAUUACACCAACAGGUAGGUAGGUGCAGAACUCCGGCCUUAGAUGGAGAUGCUACAAGGUACAGGGAAUGAAGAGAAUCUAUUCUGAUAACUUGUAGAAUACCUCUGGAGAAGGCCUCUUGAUAGUGUGCAACUUGAUCUCCAUAGUCCUCGUCAUGGAACCAAAUAAUUAACUACCACAUGAGCAUACACUCAGAUCAAGAAACAUGUGGGAAUCUAAAGCUAAAUCAUGGCAAUUAUCCUACGACAUUCCAAAGAAGUUGAAUAAAGCUUGCUGACACAACCCCAAAGAAGUUGCCAUCUGUCAAGACAAACAAGCAUGCAAGUAAGAAGAUAUAACACAUGUACGCAGAAUAAUCCAGCAUAUUAGCCAAGGAAUAACCAAGAAACUACUAACAUGUAACUUCACAUGCAUCAACAAGGUGUGGUUUGGAGAUCUUAGUGGGCAGACAGUAACAAUAUCUGGUUCUUACUAUAUUAAGCAAUAAAAUACCCAAUAUAAAUAUGUAUUUGCACGUAUAUUCAACAGUCUACCAGUCAACAGUCACUUUCUGUACACUCUGCAUCAAACAGAUCGAAGUGAAUUUGUUGAUUCUCUGUCAUGUAUCUAAAAGAUAGAACCAUGAAUGAGUUCGGCUUCGGGCCUCUGCAUUAAUCGAGAAUAGACAGCCAAACAAGCUUCGUUGGAUAUCACCAUAUAUGUUGUCGCUGCAAAUUCUUUAGUGAGUCCCAAUAGUUUAGAGUAAGAAGCAGAUGAGUAAGUAAGUCGCAUUACUUUGUGUUUGUGAGCCGGCGACUACUACCUGCUGUAAAGAAAUAUAAGAGUGUUUAGAUCACUACUUUAGUGAUUUAAACGCUCUUAUGACUUCACUGUAUUUCCCACUGCCUACUUUCCGGACGACCUCGUAAUCAUCCUUCUCACUGAAUGGGGAAGAAUCACCAGUAGAUACAACUGAGUACAUAGCUAAAAGAACAAAAUAUUUAUUGAGUUUCACUCCAAAAUUCACCUACUAAAAAGGUUCGAAGACUUCUGUAAAAAAAUUUGAAACAACGGCCAAGAGAGGAUUCACGAUCGUGAUACCGAUCGAGGGUCAUAUAACUAUUGUUUACACGUUUGGAAGCAUGUGUCCAAUUGAGCAUUUUGGUUGGUGCAACUCCAUUCAGUUCUCCUCAGAGCAACCUCCCUAUAGAGAUAUUAAAUAUUAAAUGGUCUCCAUCAAUACUAAUUUCCAGGUGUUUAGUCUUUUAGAAUACAGUUCUCUGGAUGCACCCCCAAUCAGCAUAAUUCUAGAUAUCAUUCCACUAACAAGCACAACAGCUCAAACAACAAAUAUUGGAAGACAAUCCAAAAUAGCAAAACACUCGUCAAUAAUAUUCAACAAUAGCUCCAGUCGGAUAACAAAGGGUAAUAUGAUCACAGCCCGAUGACCAAGGGUUUAAAAUCUUUUGACAACAUACAUUCCUGAAUUUUGUGAAUAUCCAACAAUGGCAAAUAUUGACAAAGGAUUGCUAAUAACCUAAUGGUGUUUGAAAACUCUCAGCAUCAUCCUGCAACUUGCUGGAUCAGAUAUACACCCUCUCUAUCUAUUUUUUCAGAAAAUUCUCCUAUAAUCUAGUCAUAGCAAAGAUAAGAGGUCUAAAGACUUGCAGAACCAAAAUUCAGAGGCAGUACUGAACGAAUAUGAAUGAACCAACAGCAACUCCAGUACAAACUUCAGAUCUAAAGAGUACCUUAAAUUGAACCUGAUGGGCACUGGAAUUAUAAAACACAGGUGUCAAACAUUUUAGAAAAGAAAAUCGUGGGCGGAAUCCUUCCGGGUUAGGGCCGGCGAUUAGGCUGUGUGGCGAGCGGUCUCGAGGGGAGGGGAGGCAGGAUAGCGUGCAACUUAUGAGUUGAUUAGUAUCAGGUCUAUGUUUUGUGAAGUUUGAUCGAUGGACUGAACAAGUGCAAUAGGUUUUGAAAUUUUCUUGAAUCAUUAGUUCGAAACUAUUUCAAAAGAGAGUUUAAAGAAAUGAGGUUAAGAGAGUAGACUAAAAAAGAGGUUUAAUUGAAGCAUUAGACAGAAAAUGAUGUUUUGAGCCCAGGUUGUACCACAGCAAGAAAAUGCAUGUUGUGCCUGAAGCCGUCAACCCUUCAAACUUUUCAAAUACCAGUUAAACUCACUAUAUCAAGAUCAUUUUUCAAAUAUCAGUUAAACCCACUAAAUCUCAGCACUACUAACAGAAAAAGUGAAGAACUCAUUGAAGGUCCUAAAAAUGCUUUCACCAGAAGGAGUAGGACCAUGCAGCACAAACAUUAUUCAAGAAGAGUGUGACCAUCACAACAUUGAAUCUUCUCUGUCAACUCUACACAUCAGAGAUUGACGACAACAUGGUUUACUGGUAGUGGAAAUGUAAAUUUAAUAUAUAUAUAUAUAUAUACUUUGGAAUGCACCAGAAUUCAGCAACUGAUCCCUUACUGAAGGCAUCAUGCCAUCGACACCAUCAUAUGAAUCAACACCAGGGUAUAAACACGCAGAUGAAUCGGUCUGACAGAAAAGGAGACGACAGUAAGAUAUGGACGGGUUUCGAUUACUACCUCGCGGUGGGAGAGCUCGGCCUUCCAAACGGCCUCCCUCUCGGCGACCUCGCGUUUGCGCUCCUGAUGUAGCUGGCAUCUCCCGCUCCUUCAUGAUGCGAUCCUGGAUGUCCACGUCCAGCGCCUUCUACAGCUCCUUCACGAACCUGUCCAUCAACGCUUUGAUCCGCACCCGUAUGCUCCCGGACCAAAACCAAGAAGAUCUGGGGAGAUGAGGCUGGACAGGGUGGAGCUCGCGGCCGGAGAUGAAGAGGGCAUGAGCGCAGGUGAGGGUGGCGGCGGCCACCGUGGACGAGGACGGAGUGAGGAGUCGGAGAGGCGGCGCGUAGCGUUGGCGCCGGGCUUGCCGCCGAUUCACCUCGUACCGCAACGUCUUGUUGACCCGGAUGCCCCCUCUCCACCGGCCGCUGCCACCAUGUUCCUGUCCUCUCGCCGGAGGAGCGGGCGCCGGGGGAGCUGGGAGCCUGGGAUGUGCAGACGGCGGCGGCGGCGGCAACCCUAGGUCCGCCCGGAGAAGAGGAAACGAGGAGAGAAGAGGGGAAGGUUGUUUCGUGAGGAAGGGAACGCGCCCGACCAGUCGCUCCUCUUUUCUUUUUAUCUUUCUAGCGACUAGCGAUGCAAAGCAAUCAGUUCUUUUUUUCUUUGUCGUACCUGUGAGACGUGGCACGCGCGAGCGACCGCUCUUUGCGCUACUCUUAAAGGGUUUAAUUUCACCAACAUGUUUAUAUUGCCUAAUUAAAAUCUAAACAUCCAGCAACACGGCCAUGUUGGGCAAGCCAUAAUUAAUUAACUAGGUACUGAUACGUCCUAGUGUUUCAUUGAGAUAUAAAAUGCAUCCAUGCCAUUCAAAUCAGAGUAGCAUGCACGUAUGUCAUCCAGUCCAGAGAGUGAUAAAAGAAAUGAUAAGUAAAAAGGAAACAGCAGCCUAGUACUGCAUUACUAGUACUACGCGGGUCGAGCCCCAGCCCGAGUCUAUCAAAAAGACUACUCAGGCCUCCUUUGGUUUGGAGGAAUUUCAUAAGAAUUUUAGAGGAUAGGAUUUUUAUAGGAUUUUUUCUUUAAAGCCUUUUGGUUCAUAGGAAUAGAUUUUUAUUCCUACAUAGGAUUGGUUCCUAUCCUCCAGAUUUUAUAAGAAAAUAAAAAUGAGCCUAGACUCAAUGGAAAAAUUCCUUUGAUGUAAACAAAAUGACAUCUCAUUUCCUAUUCCUACUCACAGAAUUUGAGAUACAUGCCAUCUCAUUUUCUACAAAAUUCCUAUUCCUAUAAUAAUCCUAUCCUAUGAACCAAAAGAGGCAUCAACUUCUCUGUUGUCCCACGAACAGAACCAGCUUGCUCACCUCUCUCUCUCCCCAAAGAACAGAGCACGGCCGCCGUCGCCUCGAUCUGCCCCGUACGGGCAUCUCCGGCGACACGGCGGACACCUACAGAUUCCUCUCGUCUCCCUCUACCAUUUCCCCCUAUUUAUUUGAUCCGCCGCCGCCAAAAACAUCGCCACCACUCAAUCCUAGCGCCGCCUGAUCCAGGUCCGGUGGGCUNNNNNNNNNNNNNNNNNNNNNNNNNNNNNNNNNNNNNNNNNNNNNNNNNNNNNNNNNNNNNNNNNNNNNNNNNNNNNNNNNNNNNNNNNNNNNNNNNNNNNNNNNNNNNNNNNNNNNNNNNNNNNNNNNNNNNNNNNNNNNNNNNNNNNNNNNNNNNNNNNNNNNNNNNNNNNNNNNNNNNNNAGGCGUGCAGCCACGGGCGUCGGGCGCGUGCGGCUUCACCGGCGCUGCUCGGUUGCCAUGGCUUUGCUGCUAACGGUGUGGACUAGCCACAUCCUACUGCUACUACUGGUAAGUACUAUUCCUGAUUCCUUCUCCAUGAAGUGCUCCAAAUUUCACAACAAGUGCCUGCUAUGUAUGAAUGUGGGUGUGCAUAUAUUGUUCAUUUUAUCUCAGGCCCUACUAUUCCCCUCUUAGCCAUAUUGCCUUCUUUCUCUUUGUUUAUCUCAAGGCCAUGAAAUUAAUCAAGAUUUAAUCUAUGGUGUGGUCAUGGUAUUGCUACUGAUUAGAUCUAACUAGUGCUACUCAUCCUUGAACACCAUAUAGAAGUAAACAGUGGCAGUGAAACUCCAAAAAUAAUUACUUGUGAGUAGAUUAUAAACAUCAAUCACUCAAUGUUUGCUACAGAUUGGCAGGGAUUAAUAAUUAGGACAAGGUAGUAUACACAGGAAGGUUGAUCUUUUGGAUACACACAUACAUGUCUUAGCAAGUUGCUAGUACUUAAGAUUUGAUUCUUGGCAUGUUAGAUCUAGUACAAGCCACGUAUGUCAUUCACAGAAACUUUUACAAGCUUUUGCAAUUGAUCUAAUUAGUUUUGACUAACUUGGGUGUUUACGCAAACAUUUUGUUCUUUUUACUGCAAGGUAAAUAGAUCAAGGUGAAUAGAUGCUCAUGGACUGAUUCAAACCGAGGUGGAGAUAGAUAAGAGGUCAAGCAAGAAGGGCUAACACAACAAGGUACUUGAUUAGUACCUGGUGGCGCAUGCAAGCCAAAGAGCUUCACAGCAGUGGAGGACAGUAGUGUGGCAGAAAGUGAAAAGGCAAGGUGAAAAGGUAGAGGGGUUUCUCCAGCGGAUGAUUGUGUGUGGCCACAGUGAAAGGGAUGGCUCCUAUUUAUAGUGGGGUGAAUAGCUAUGUCGGUUUGGAGAGGCAUUACAUGCAUGCGUGGUUAGUCUUGCAUGCAUGCCUCCACUUGUGUCUCUUGUGGGCUGUAUUAGGGACAAGUGUGAUUUGCUUGGCUGGCCAUUAGUUGGCAUUUACUUUGUGUGAGAGAAAUGAGACAAGGGUCUAUAAAAUAUAGGGAGGUUUGGAGAAGAAUUGUUGUGUAUGACUAAAUGCUAUUUCCUGUAAAAAUAUAUUAAAAGUAGUUGUUUCUAUUAUUUUAAUUAAUGUUUAGGCAACGCGGUUGAAAUUAUCGUUAUCUAAUUUUAUUAUUAUUAUUAUUAUUAUUAUUAUUAUUAUUAUUUUACGGUUUUUACACGGCGGGGCCGUCCUCAUCCAGCCAGACCCGUCCCCAUCUAGCCACACUCGCUCCCCCAUCGCCGGCAAACCCUAGCCACCUCAGUCGUGCCAAAUGGGGCUCUUCUUCGGCGCCGACAGCAGCAACAAGGCCAAGAGCAAGUCGCCCGCCACCCCCUUUCCCCCAGAGUUUCUCCCCCUCCAUCGGCACCAGCUCGCUGGCCGAGGCAUCGCGUCAACGUGCCGAUGCACCAUGCGGAGUGGCACCGACAGCACCACGUGCCUCUCCCGUACCCCGACGCCACCCUGCUGCACGACUGGCACCUAGAUCCGGAGAGGAUCCCGGUGCCGACGGUCCCACGAUCGGCCAGGGCGCACGUGGAGGAGGUGCGGCACCGGCAGGCGCUCCUGACGCCGGAGCAGCGCCGCGACGCCGCCUACGCCUCCGACUCGGCCAACAGGGCGCGCUGGUUCGCCUUCGAGCACGAGAAGGCGAGGCGCCGCGGCGUCCGCGAGGUCGACCGCACCAUGCCACCGCCCCCGCUCAUCGUCCGCGAGGAGGACUAGGCGGCGGAGGCCGCCUACCAGGCUGCCCUUGCGGCGGUCUACCGAGAGAGUGAGGAGGACGAGCGGCGCAGGGCGGCGGCAAAGGAAGAGGAGGUGGCGUAUGAGGCGGCCAUGGCCCUCUCUGCGGGGCGACUGCGUCCUGCCGCCGGUGACCCCGUCGUCCCCUGUGAGAGCCGAGCCGGAGCUGAAGCCGGAGCCGGAGCCGUCCCCCAUCGAACGCUACUCCUGGACGGGAGUAGUGCGCGAGUGGGUCAGGGCGCCGCCGGUCUGGGUGGGGCCGACACCGGCGCAGGAGGCGGCGUACCUCGAGCACUAGCGCCACAUCCGGCUGGCCGAGGAGUGCCGCGACGGCGAGUACCUCGAGAUGCUCGAGCGCGACGCCGAGGCCGAGCAGCGUGACGCCGAGGAGGAGGCGCGCCAGGCCGCGGCGGCAUAGGCGGCCGCACAGCCCGCGCCCGACAUGAACGCCCUCUAGAACCUGGUGUUCUCCUGGGCCGGCCCUGCGCUGACGCUCAUCGACCUCACGGACCCCGAGGACGAUGACGACGACGCCUAGGGCAGCACGUCGCCUCGUAGUUUAGUUUAUUUUUAGUUUUUAUUAAUGCUAAUGUGGACGCAUGGACUCUCGCCGGCCUUUGUGGCUAGCUUUAAUGUAUAAUUAUUGCAUGCUUUUUUUUCGCGCUGUCAAAAAUGGGUCAGGCCAGUGUUAGGCGCACGCGCCGACCCAAACGCGAAAGCGGAUAUUCGUAUCCGCCUGGCUGACCCAAACGGACAAAAGGCACAUAAAAUCACCGUCCAUUUGGAUCGGCCCGUUGGAGUUGCUCUUAAAGCAUAUCUGAUCAAAGAAAUCUCCUUUUGUUUCUUGAAGAUAAAGGACGACACAUCAUAUUUCCGCAAUCUUGUUAGAUAGGGCAGUCCGCUUUUUAUCAGAAUUAAUCCUUCUUUUAUUUGAAUUUAGGAUUUUCCGGUCCCUAUUCAUGACAAUAUUUAUAGCACACACAAUAUGAUAGCCAGGUAUACCCUAGGAACUGCAACCAACAGCAAAUAUGAGCAACUGACCAUAAUCUAACUCUGUCCUGACAUAACCCACAGUACAUCCACGCAAUAACCUCUAACAUAAUAUUGUCCUAUCCGACAUUACAGUUCAUCCACUUAAACAUAAGGUAAACAUAAGGUCUUAAGAGUAUUAUACAUCCAUGAUAACACAAAAGGCAGCUGAAACUAACUGGACUUGAGCUUUAUUAUGAACUCUGAGCUCUUUGCUUCAGUGCUCCACUCUUCUGGCCUUACCCAAAACUCCUUUUGCUACUUCUGUUUCUUGAAUCUUGUGGGCAGCUUUUCUUCAGAUGCGCAUUUCCUGGAGAGAGAGAGUACGGUGAGAUAGAG
rnacentral:lncRNA from 1 species